UACGAAGGUGGCUAGCGUUGCUCGGAAUCACUGGGCGUAAAGCGCACGUAGGCGGCUUUCUAAGUCAGGGGUGAAAUCCUGGAGCUCAACUCCAGAACUGCCUUUGAUACUGGAGAGCUAGAGUCCGGAAGAGGUGAGUGGAACUGCGAGUGUAGAGGUGAAAUUCGUAGAUAUUCGCAAGAACACCAGUGGCGAAGGCGGCUCACUGGUCCGGUACUGACGCUGAGGUGCGAAAGCGUGGGGAGCAAACAGG
rnacentral:rRNA from 1 species